UGCUGAAUAGAAAAUAUUGUUUCCGUGUGACUUUAUUAUAAGAUUAUUUUUUCGUUAUUAACAUUUUACAUAUUUAGAGGUGAAUGAUUAAUUAAAUAUCCUAUUUUGAUUACACAAAAAAAUCUACUAUUUUCUCCAAAGAUUUUAAUCGCAAAUUUUGAAUGGAAGAAUCAAUUGCUAAAUAUUUUUAUCUAUCGUGGUAUUUUAUACUUAAUUAAAAUAUGAAUUACUGAUGAUUACAUGUCAGCUACACUAUAUGAUAGCUCGAGUGUGCAUACUUACAAACUCAUUUUAAAUUGUAUUUCAAAUAUGAUUUUUGUUAUCUAAUUUUUCUAUUUGUUGCAUUGUAUACUUUUGCUUUUCUCAAUAAAAAAAUUGGUGGUGGUAAGUUUAUUUUAUUUCUAUCGUCAGGACUUGAGAGAAGAAAUCACUAUUAUAUUGUUAUAUUUCUAUCCUUUAUUUUUUCGUUUGUUUAAGCUAGUAGGUUCGGUUCACCCAUAGGUGUUAAACAUUGACAUGAACACUUCGACAAAUUAACACCUUUCUG
rnacentral:lncRNA from 1 species